UACGGAGGGUGCGAGCGUUGUCCGGAAUCACUGGGCGUAAAGGGCGCGUAGGCGGCGCGGGCAGUCAACGGUGAAAGCUCGGGGCUCAACUCCGAGUCGGCCGUCGAUACUCCCGUGCUCGAGCACUGUAGAGGCAGGUGGAAUUCCGGGUGUAGCGGUGGAAUGCGUAGAGAUCCGGAAGAACACCGGGUGGCGAAGGCGGCAUCCUGGACCAUAACUGACGCUGAGGCGCGAAAGCCAGGGGAGCGAACGGG
rnacentral:rRNA from 1 species